rnacentral:rRNA from 1 species
AACGAACGCUGGCGGCAUGCCUAACACAUGCAAGUCGAACGCCCUCUUCGGAGGGAGUGGCGCACGGGUGCGUAACGCGUGGGAACCUGCCCUUAGGUUCGGAAUAACUCAGAGAAAUUUGAGCUAAUACCGGAUAAUGUCUUCGGACCAAAGAUUUAUCGCCUUUGGAUGGGCCCGCGUUGGAUUAGCUAGUUGGUGGGGUAAAGGCCUACCAAGGCGACGAUCCAUAGCUGGUCUGAGAGGAUGAUCAGCCACACUGGGACUGAGACACGGCCCAGACUCCUACGGGAGGCAGCAGUGGGGAAUAUUGGACAAUGGGCGAAAGCCUGAUCCAGCAAUGCCGCGUGAGUGAUGAAGGCCUUAGGGUUGUAAAGCUCUUUUACUGGGGGAUGAUAAUGACAGUACCCAGAGAAUAAAGCUCCGGCUAAACUCCGUGCCAGCAGCCGCGGUAAAU